UCCCCUCCCAACAGGCUGGUGCCCGCCUCC
rnacentral:piRNA from 1 species